GACGAACGCUGGCGGCGUGCCUAAUACAUGCCAGUCGAACGCACAGUUUAUACCGUAGCUUGCUACACCAUAAACUGUGAGUUGCGAACGGGUGAGUAACGCGUAGGUAACCUGCCUGGUAGCGGGGGAUAACUAUUGGAAACGAUAGCUAAUACCGCAUAAUAUUGAUUAUUGCAUGAUAAUUGAUUGAAAGAUGCUAUUGCAUCACUACCAGAUGGACCUGCGUUGUAUUAGCUAGUAGGGGAGGUAACGGCUCACCUAGGCGACGAUACAUAGCCGAACGGAGAGGGUGAUCGGCCACACUGGGACUGAGACACGGCCCAGACUCCUACGGGAGGCAGCAGUAGGGAAUCUUCGGCAAUGGACGAAAGUCUGACCGAGCAACGCCGCGUGAGUGAAGAAGGUUUUCGGAUCGUAAAGCUCUGUUGUAAGAGAAGAACGGGUGUGAGAGUGGAAAGUUCACACUGUGACGGUACCUUAACAGAAAGGGACGGCUAACUACGUG
rnacentral:rRNA from 1 species